GUGGCUUAAAAUAUUUUUAGUUACAUCAUUUUUUUCUUUCCCAAAUCAAUUGAUAUGAUCAAAAUUCCUAAUCUCUCAUCUCCUCAAAUCUUCAUCUUCUUUUCCAAAUCUCUUAUCUUUCAUCUCUUUUCUUCUUAUCCCCGAAAUCUCAAUGAAAAAAGAAGUAAAAGAAGGAAAUCCUUUUUCCUCCAUGGCCCUA
rnacentral:lncRNA from 1 species